GCGGCCGGCGCGGGGCUGACGUCAGCGCGGCGUGCGGCGGCGUGGGGCGCCGUGCCGCCCCGGCGGAGGCCCGGCCGGGUUGCUGGGAGACGGCGGAGCGCAGCGCAGCGCUGCCGGCCCCGCCGGCGGGCCUGACGUCAGGGCCGGGCCGCUCGCAUGGCCGCCCCGCUCGCCGCAGCCCGCCCGGUGGCAUGGAGGAGGCGAGAGGCCUAGCGCCCUCGGACGAGCGCCGGUAAAAUGGACCUCAAGGGCCAGUACUGGACGGACGAUGACUCCGACGGGGACAACGAGUCCGAGGAGUUCCUCUACGGCGUGCAGGGGACCUGCGCCGCCGACCUGUACCGCCACCCGCAGCUGGACGCCGACAUCGAGGCCGUGAAGGAGAUCUACAGCGAGAACUCGGUGGCCGUCAGGGAGUAUGGGACCAUCGACGACGUGGACAUCGACCUCCACGUGAACAUCAGCUUCCUCGAUGAGGAGGUGGCAACAGCCUGGAAGGUGCUGCGGACGGAGCCCAUCGUGCUGCGGCUGCGGUUCUCCCUCUCGCAGUACCUCGAUGGCCCCGAACCAUCCAUCGAGGUUUUCCAGCCGUCCAACAAGGAGGGGUUCGGACUGGGGCUGCAGCUGAAGAAGAUCCUGGGCAUGUUCACGUCGCAGCAAUGGAAACACCUGAGCAACGACUUCCUGAAGACCCAGCAGGAGAAGCGGCACAGCUGGUUCAAGACGAGCGGCACCAUCAAGAAGUUUCGAGCGGGCCUCAGCAUCUUCUCCCCCAUCCCCAAGUCGCCCAGCUUCCCAGUCAUCCAGGACUCGGUGCUGAAGGGCAAGCUGGGCAUGCCUGAGGUGCGCGUCAACCGCCUGAUGAACCGCUCCGUCUCCUGCACGGUGAAGAACCCCAAGGUGGAGGUUUUCGGCUACCCCCCCAGCACCCAGGCAGGUGUCGCCCCCUUCAACAUCCUGGUUGGUGGCCACUGCAAGAACGUCCCCACGCUGGAAUACGGCUUCCUCGUCCAGAUCAUGAAGUACGCGGAGCAGCGGAUCCCGACGCUCAACGAGUACUGCGUGGUGUGCGACGAGCAGCACGUCUUCCAGAACGGCUCCAUGCUCAAGCCGGCUGUGUGCACCCGCGAGCUGUGCGUGUUCUCCUUCUACACCCUCGGCGUGAUGUCCGGCGCGGCGGAGGAGGUGGCCACGGGCGCCGAGGUGGUGGACCUGCUCGUGGCCAUGUGCCGUGCUGCUCUGGAGUCCCCCCGCAAGAGCAUCAUCUUUGAGCCUUACCCCUCCGUGGUGGACCCCAACGACCCCAAAACACUUGCCUUCAACCCCAAGAAGAAGAACUACGAGAGGCUGCAGAAGGCCCUGGACAGCGUGAUGUCCAUCCGGGAAAUGACCCAGGGGUCAUAUCUGGAGAUCAAGAAGCAGAUGGACAAACUGGACCCCCUGGCGCAUCCCCUCCUGCAAUGGAUAAUCUCCAGCAACAGAUCCCACAUCGUCAAGCUACCUCUCAGCAGGCAGCUGAAGUUUAUGCACACCUCACACCAGUUCCUCCUGCUGAGCAGCCCCCCGGCCAAGGAGGCCCGUUUCCGCACCGCCAAGAAGCUCUACGGCAGCACCUUCGCUUUCCACGGCUCUCACAUUGAGAACUGGCACUCCAUCCUCCGCAACGGGCUGGUGAACGCGUCCUACACCAAGCUGCAGCUGCAUGGAGCAGCCUAUGGCAAGGGCAUCUAUCUGAGCCCCAUCUCCAGUAUUUCCUUUGGAUACUCAGGUAAGAGGCUGCAUGCACUGCUCCGUCCCGCCUGCACUCCCAUCCCACUCCUUGCAUGGGCACGGGCCCGGCUCCGCUUCGGACGAUGCCGUUGGGAGGAGCUGCACAGGGAGGAGGGUGGCGAGGCCUCCCGGCUGUGCCCGGGGCGUCCUUCCUGCCCGGACCAGCCGCUCCCCUCCGGAUCUGGCAUUUCCAAUGCACCGCUCUGGUCUCUGGGGAAAAAUCCAGCAUUUUCUAGGGAAGAAAUGACCCUAAGGUGCUUUGGUGGAGUUUUCCCCAGGGAGACAACUUGUCUCUCUGAGCAGCUCUGCCAGGCUCUGGCUGGCCAGAGAGCGCGGCUCGGCGCGGGUCCUGCAGCCAUGGGGGCUCUGGGCGCAGCUGGCUCGGACCCUCGGUCGGGCAUCGCGCUACGGCCGCUGGGUCUGCUUCGUUUGCCAGCUCCGAAAAUCGGGUGCUCCCACCUUGCGGGACCUCGGGGCCGGGCGCUGCUCUCCCAGGGCCUCGCCUGACCUCGGUGCUGCGCUCGCGUGUCGCGGGUGCCGCAGCGUGGCAGAGCUGUCCCCGGCGCGUCUGUGGCAUGCGUCCUCUCACCCGUGUCUCCGGGAUCCUGCCGGGUGACAGAGCCUUGGGGUGCUCCUUGCCCAGCGGCCGCAGUGGUGCCCACCCCGGGGAGCUCCCGCGACCUGGGCUGGGGCUAGGGAGUGACGGCGGUGGUGUCGCUUGUCCCGCAGGGAUGGGGAAAGGGCAGCACCGGAUGCCUUCCAAGGACGAGCUGGUGCAGCGAUACAACCGGAUGAACACCAUUCCCCAGACCCGAUCCAUCCAGUCUCGCUUCCUCCAGAGCCGCAACUUGAACUGCAUUGCGCUUUGUGAAG